rnacentral:rRNA from 1 species
UUUUAUGGAGAGUUUGAUCCUGGCUCAGGAUGAACGCUGGCGGCGUGCCUAAUACAUGCAAGUCGAGCGAACGGACGAGAAGCUUGCUUCUCUGAUGUUAGCGGCGGACGGGUGAGUAACACGUGGAUAACCUACCUAUAAGACUGGGAUAACUUCGGGAAACCGGAGCUAAUACCGGAUAAUAUUUUGAACCGCAUGGUUCAAAAGUAAAAGACGGUCUUGCUGUCACUUAUAGAUGGAUCCGCGCUGCAUUAGCUAGUUGGUAAGGUAACGGCUUACCAAGGCAACGAUGCAUAGCCGACCUGAGAGGGUGAUCGGCCACACUGGAACUGAGACACGGUCCAGACUCCUACGGGAGGCAGCAGUAGGGAAUCUUCCGCAAUGGGCGAAAGCCUGACGGAGCAACGCCGCGUGAGUGAUGAAGGUCUUCGGAUCGUAAAACUCUGUUAUUAGGGAAGAACAUAUGUGUAAGUAACUGUGCAC